UACGUAGGGCGCAAGCGUUAUCCGGAAUUAUUGGGCGUAAAGAGCUCGUAGGCGGUUUGUCGCGUCUGCCGUGAAAGUCCGGGGCUCAACCCCGGAUCUGCGGUGGGUACGGGCAGACUAGAGUGAUGUAGGGGAGACUGGAAUUCCUGGUGUAGCGGUGAAAUGCGCAGAUAUCAGGAGGAACACCGAUGGCGAAGGCAGAUCUCUGGGCCGUAACUGACGCUGAGGAAGCGAAAGCAUGGGGAGCAAACAGG
rnacentral:rRNA from 1 species